rnacentral:lncRNA from 1 species
GUCAGGGACAGCUAGUGUGGGAGCAGAUUUUAGGGCUGUUUUUAAGGAAUGGAAAGAGGAAUGGGGAAAGGAUUUAGGAUCUAUGGGGUCAGCUAGAUUUCCUUUUGUGAGUUUAUAUAAUGGUUUAGUCAGGAUGUUAAAACUAGGUAUCCAAAGGUGAAAGUAUCUAACCAUGCCCAAGAAGGAAAGGAGUUGUUGCUUUGUAGAAGGAGUUGGGGUUUGGGAGAUUAGCCAGAGAAGAUCAGCAGACAGAGCAUGUGUGUUUUUAUGAAGAAUUAUGCCGAGAUAGGUAACGGAUGAGGAAGAAAUUUGGGCUUUGGAGGGGGAUACACGAUAGCCUUUUGAGAAUAGACGUUGGAGGAGCAGGAGGGUGUUCUGUUGGGAAGAUUUGUAGGAGGGGCUAUAAAGUAGAAGGUUAUCAAAAUAUUUAAUAGGGUGAGAAGCAGAUGGAUGGAAAGAAAGUAAAUCAUGAGAAAGGGCUUUACUGAAGAAAUGGGGGCUGUCCAUGAAGAUUUGCGGCAGUACAACCCAGGCUGUGAAGCUGAGAGCUGGAUAUAUAUAAAGUUUAGAGCUGCUGUAACCCUCUUGCAAUCUCAGAGGAGCUCCUGGAAUUGCAAGAUAGACUGCAUGGAGCCUGAAGAUGAAGCCCUCAUAGCAAGAGGCGGAGUGAAGAGACAGAGAAAUGGAGUCAUUAAGGACAUUGGUUAAGUCCUUGUUUUCAGUAGUGCCUGUAAUCAGCCAUUCUGGUGGAUUUUUCAGUUACUUGACUUUAAUAAUAAACAGUUGCGCUGUAAUCAUAAAUACCUCCUAAAUGCUCACGUGCUUACAACAACAAAAAUUAUCUCUUGCUGAUGCUACAUGGGCUACCUGCAGCGCUGCUUUAUUGUUGUUUUUAAUCUGGGACUCAGUAAAAUAGAGCAGUCUCUCUCUAGAAAAUCACCUGUUGUAACGGAGGAAAAGAAAAGUAGGAAAAGAAGUGCUCGCUCUAAACUAUCUGCCUGAAGUUGCUUGCUUCCCACUUGCAUAUAAUUGGCCAGAACAAAUCACAUGGUCAAGAUUGAUGUCACAGGGUGGAGAGGGGCAGCAAAGUUUUUUGAAAAAUAAUAAUGCAAUCUACAAGUAAAUUUCCCU